rnacentral:ribozyme from 1 species
CACUACUGAUGCUCUGCAAUGGGAUGGGAUCCGAAGCCCCCUCGAGGGAUAAUACAGGCUCUCCCAUCCAACUCCUAUUCCGACACGUCCUCG